UUAAUCUCUCCCAUGCAUCGUACAUGCUUUCAUCAUCAAACUGCACAAAAGAAGAUAUGUCAUUUCUAAGUUU
rnacentral:snoRNA from 1 species